CCAUGAUACAUUUGGUGUUUACUCCUGUGCUCAUUCCUGGAUUUCCAAAGUAUAUUCUUUUGCAAAUAAACACCUCUCACCAACACCAAAACCCAAGUUCUCAGCAGGUUACUGAAGCAAAGGCUUGACCAAUUACAGUUUUCAGAAGUGCAGAACCCCUGAAUGUUCCUCGUGAAGGCCCUGGGAAAGGAGACUGACUGCUGUCCUUUUUGUCAUCCCAUCUUGCCUCCUGAGGAGGCCUGAUUAAGAAAAGCAGUGAGGGGACAGUAAAAAGAAAACUAUUUUCUGGAUCAACAACUACAUAGCAGAUAGGAUGGGCUGUGUUGACUGGCACCAUCAACUGGAGUCAUCAUCUCAUUAAGUUAAUAAUAAAUCAAUAUCAUUUUGAUGACCAUUUCUCUUCUGCAAAGGCCAAACAGGUAAGUUGAAUGAUGAUAUAGAAAUCAUAAUCUCCAGUUCUUUCAA